GGAGAGGUGGCAGAGCGGUCGAAUGCGGCGGUCUCGAAAACCGUUUCGGGGGUUCUCCUCCGACGGGGGUUCAAAUCCCCCCCUCUCCG
rnacentral:tRNA from 1 species